rnacentral:rRNA from 1 species
AUUGAACGCUGGCGGCAUGCCUUACACAUGCAAGUCGAACGGCAGCACGGGUGCUUGCACCUGGUGGCGAGUGGCGAACGGGUGAGUAAUAUAUCGGAACGUACCUUAUCGUGGGGAUAACGCAGCGAAAGCUGUGCUAAUACCGCAUAAGCCCUAAGGGGGAAAGCAGGGGACCGUAAGGCCUUGCGCGAUUAGAGCGGCCGAUACCUGAUUAGCUAGUUGGUGAGGUAAAGGCUCACCAAGGCAACGAUCAGUAGCUGGUCUGAGAGGACGAUCGGCCACACUGGGACGGAGACACGGCCCAGACUCCUACGGGAGGCAGCAGUGGGGAAUUUUGGACAAUGGGGGCAACCCUGAUCCAGCAAUGCCGCGUGAGUGAAGAAGGCCUUCGGGUUGUAAAGCUCUUUUGUCAGGGAAGAAACAGCAGCUCUAAUACAGUAUGCGAAUGACGGUACCUGAAGAAUAAGCACCGGCUAACUACGUGCCAGCCGCCGCCGUAA